AGCAGCCGCGGUAAUUCCAGCUCCAAUAGCGUAUAUUAAAGUUGUUGCAGUUAAAAAGCUCGUAGUUGAAUUUCGGGGUUCUACCGUUGGUCGGGCUAUUGUCUGUACUGGCGUGUAGAAUUUCUACCUUCUGGGGAACUAUCAUGUUAUUAAUUUAGCGUGGUAGGAAACCAGAACCUUUACCUUGAAAAAAUUAGAGUGUUCAAAGCAGGCUUAUGUCUGAAUACAUUAGCAUGGAAUAAUAAAAUAGGACGGUGGUCCUGUUUUGUUGGUUUCUGAAUCACCGUAAUGAUUAAUAGGGAUAGUUGGGGGCAUUAGUAUUCAAUUGUCAGAGGUGAAAUUCUUGGAUUUAUUGAAGACUAACUACUGCGAAAGCAUUUGCCAAGGAUGUUUUCAUUAAUCAAGAACGAAAGUUAGGGGAUCGAAGACGAUCAGAUACCGUCGUAGUCUUAACCAUAAACUAUGCCGACUAGGGAUCGGACGAUGUUAACUUUUCUUGACUCGUUCGGCGCCUUACGGG
rnacentral:rRNA from 1 species